rnacentral:rRNA from 1 species
UCACCGGCUUGACAUGUAGGAAACCCUCGAACAGGUGAUGCAUGGCUGUCGUCAGCUCGUGUCGUGGGAUGUAGGGUUAAGUCCCGAAACGAGCGCAACCCUGUCCUAGUUGCCAGCGUACGGGACUCUAGGAGACUGCUGGUGAAUACCGGAGGAAGGCGGGGAUGACGUCAAGUCAUCAUGUCCCUUAUGCCGGGCGACACACAUGCUACAAUGGGGUACAAGGGGCACGGUAACGGGAGCAAUCUCAAAACCCCCCCAGUUCGGAUUGUGGUCUGCAACUCGACCACAUGAAGCCGGAAUCGCUAGUAAUCGUAGUCAGCAUAUACGGUGAAUAUGUACUCGGGGAUUGUACACACCGCCCGUCACACCAACCGAGUGGGGGACCGAA